rnacentral:snRNA from 1 species
GGAUGUGAGGGCGAUCUGGCUGUGACAUCUGUCACCCCAUUGAUCCACCAGGGUUGAUUCGGCUGAUAUGGCUGGCUAGCCGGGUGUCCCCUUCCUCCCUCACCACUCCAUGUGCGUACCUCCCAAAGCUGCGCGCUCAGUCAAAGAGGACGACCACCCCCAGUAGAGAGGACCAUUUCCUCAGUCAAGGGUAAACAAGUAGCUGCGCUCCCCUGCUAGAACCUCCAAACAAGCUCUUUAUAUUAACUAUAAACUUUAUUUAUGCUAAGUUGCUUAAAGAGAGUAAAGAACUGCUUUUUUUUUAAGUAGAAAAAAAUCAUA